CAUAAGGAUACGACGUGCAAGUGAGUUGUGCAUCCAGUGGCAAUAACAAAGCUCGGGACGAGUGUUCUAAGCAGUUACGUAUUGCGUGUGACGCUUAGCUUGGCAGAAGUUACUGACGCGUACAAUUCAAGUUAAUGUGUAAACGUCGAGCGGUAUACUUUAACAGCUGCGUGAACUAUUUAUAUUUCCUCAGGUGUUCAGUGAAAAUCACUUGUUUUACGACGGAAAAUGAGACGUCGUUACAAGUGUUACACACGCCUCUAUGCAAAAUCGCCGAUUAGUUUUCGACGAAGUGGGUCUUUUCCUUCGUGCAAAACGAGAAUGCUGUUACAUUAUGCAAAUUAUUUGGUAACCAAUAUAUGAAGCUGGACUGAUGAGAAUCUUUGUAUCAGAGAAGAGCUUGAAAUGCCACUGGCUGAAAAAAAAAAAUAAAUAAGUCUUCACAGAUGAAGAAUGAAUGAAAAACACUGUUGCUUCUAACAUGCUGUAAGACUGUGGCAUAUCUUUGGUGCAGGGUCAAAGGGGCUCACGUCAAAACUAUAAACUUUUUUUUUUAGGAGAGCUACAGCAAAGACCACAAUCCUCUCUAAAAUCCAAAUAGAAGUGACCAGUGAACCAAGGCAAUCAGUGAGAGCUAAACAACAGAUUCCUUGUUGCCAUAGGUUGCAAAUGAGGGCAUGGCUGUUUUGAAGUGCACUGAAAUAUGGUUUUGUAGUGCAAGUGUCUUUUAGAUGAAGUAAUUGAAGAUAACUGGACGAACAUGCAUAUUACUGAAAUCAACUUCCUUUACGCACUUUGGACUAGUUUUUGUGCAUAUGAAAAGCAAAAUUAAAAAAAGAAAUGUGAAGCUAGUAAUUGAGAAGUCAUGUUGUACGAGUAUAUAAGUGUUGCAGAAACGUGUAUGUGAAGCUGCCAAUGCAAAUUUCUUUUUAUAUAGAGAUAAAUGUAUUUUUUAUGUAAAGGUAAAUGUAAUUUUUUCUUCUUUAUUUUAUUUGUAUAUGCUUCCUGUGUAUCUAGUAAGCUGCCAUUUUUGGAGUAGAUUGUACAGUUUAGUAAGAUUUCUGUUUUAAGUGACUUUGCCUGUGUGCAAAUUUUGCCUGGAGAUAAUAUCUGGCACUGUGUGAAGAUGUCCUGUAUUUUAUCAGAUCAUCCUUUAUUUUAGCUCAAGUGUUCCCUUGUCCUGACAAAAUACAUACCAGGGCAUAUACUGUCCUGUUUCUCAUUAACUGUCCCUUAUAUUUUGAAAGGUGCAUUUUCAAGAGAGAUGUAGCAUAACUGAAAGGAGAAUAAACGUGGUCAUACCCAAAGAAUAAAGAAAAUACCCCUGUUGAUUAAACCAAACUAAACCAGGGAUGAUUUUUGAAAUCCUUUUGUUGGUACUACUUAAAAGCUUUCACAUGGCAAGCAGUUCAUCACUUCCACUUUCUUUGUGCAUUGCCUAUUGCUUCAGCUCACCAUAUUUAAAUAUGUGGUUUUAAUGGAUUUAAAGAGUCACAUCUAACCUUACUUGAUGUUGCACAUUGCAAACAUUUCAUAUAAAUGCCAAAAAGAAAGUACAUAUUUACUGACUAAAGCAAGUUUCCAUUUCUGAAAUUAGAAUAGUAAAGCGAUAACUUAUUUUGCACAUUGUGUAAAAGUACUUCUUGAGUCUACAAUGGGAGUCAAUAUGAUGUUCUGCAAUACAUUAACGUUAAUAAACACAAGUUAGCAGUUUCAAGCAUAACUUUGUCACAAAGUAUGAUGUCUUUUUGCACAAAACAUGAGAAUAGUGUCACUGCAAAAGAAGAAGAAAAUCGUCUCACUGCUGAGGAAGCUUCAGUAGCUUUCCAUGCAAUGUAAUGAAACAUCGUGUGGCGAGGGCCUCCCGGCGGGUAGACCUGAUCGCCUGGUUCAAGUCUUUUGAGGUGACAUCACUCUUCAGCGACUUGCACAUCGAUGAGGAUGAAAUGGUGAUGAUGGAGACUACACAAACACUCAGUCCCUGAGUGGAGAAAAUCUCCAACCCAAAUGGGAAUCAACCCCCCCCCCACGCAACAUGACAAGUCAGCGUGCUGUCCACUCAGCUACGGUGGGGCGGACAAUGAAACAUAAUCAUUCCUUCAGGUCAAUACUUGUAUAGUCAAGGUGAAGUUUGGAACACACUAUUCGAAAAGUGUAGCUGAAGAGGAACCCGUUAAAUAAAGUAUUUUUUUCAAGUGAUCAAGAGUGUGACCCUGGUAAAAAUAAAGAGGCAUGUGAAACAGAAAGAGACAAUUGCAAAUCGAAUAUUAGAUGACUUCCAUUCAUCCACAAGAGGGCAGCACCAGGUGAUGGACAAGAGCUACUGGAUGAGAAAUAUUGAGAGUGGACUGGGUUAUCAAAAGAAGAAGAAGAAGAAGAAGAAGGAGUCAAGUCGAAGGAAGGAAGGAGGUUAGAGUUUAACAUAUUAUGGACAGCGCAGCCAUUACAGACUAAAGCAGAGUUGAGUGGAGUGGGGGUAAGGAGAAUUGAAACUACAUGGAUGAUGAAUUAAUGUGCUACUUUUUAUGAACUGAUAAAUAGUAAGGUUUUGGUUUGUAUAAAUUGAGAUGAGGAGUGUGACUUAAUUCAUUUUCACAUCACAGAAAUUGUUACUAAUUUUGUGGAUUUUUCAGUAAUGACAAAUUGUAGAAAGUUUAAAUGUUAUGUGAAGAAGCUAUCUCAGUUUUUGGUGUUAUAACAGAAAAAGUUUUGAAUAUAUUGC